rnacentral:rRNA from 1 species
CGCAUGGUUUUGAUUUGAAAGGCGCUUUCGGGUGUCGCUGAUGGAUGGACCCGCGGUGCAUUAGCUAGUUGGUGAGGUAACGGCUCACCAAGGCCACGAUGCAUAGCCGACCUGAGAGGGUGAUCGGCCACAUUGGGACUGAGACACGGCCCAAACUCCUACGGGAGGCAGCAGUAGGGAAUCUUCGGCAAUGGACGAAAGUCUGACCGAGCAACGCCGCGUGAGUGAAGAAGGUUUUCGGAUCGUAAAACUCUGUUGUUAGAGAAGAACAAGGAUGAGAGUAACUGUUCAUCCCUUGACGGUAUCUAACCAGAAAGCCACGGCUAACUACGUGCCAGCAGCCGCGGUAAUACGUAGGUGGCAAGCGUUGUCCGGAUUUAUUGGGCGUAAAGCGAGCGCAGGCGGUUUCUUAAGUCUGAUGUGAAAGCCCCCGGCUCAACCGGGGAGGGUCAUUGGAAACUGGGAGACUUGAGUGCAGAAGAGGAGAGUGGAAUUCCAUGUGUAGCGGUGAAAUGCGUAGAUAUAUGGAGGAACACCAGUGGCGAAGGCGGCUCUCUGGUCUGUAACUGACGCUGAGGCUCGAAAGCGUGGGGAGCAAACAGGAUUAGAUACCCUGGUAGUCCACGCCGUAAACGAUGAGUGCUAAGUGUUGGAGGGUUUCCGCCCUUCAGUGCUGCAGCUAACGCAUUAAGCACUCCGCCUGGGGAGUACGACCGCAAGGUUGAAACUCAAAGGAAUUGACGGGGGCCCGCACAAGCGGUGGAGCAUGUGGUUUAAUUCGAAGCAACGCGAAGAACCUUACCAGGUCUUGACAUCCUUUGACCACUCUAGAGAUAGAGCUUCCCCUUCGGGGGCAAAGUGACAGGUGGUGCAUGGUUGUCGUCAGCUCGUGUCGUGAGAUGUUGGGUUAAGUCCCGCAACGAGCGCAACCCUUAUUGUUAGUUGCCAUCAUUCAGUUGGGCACUCUAGCAAGACUGCCGGUGACAAACCGGAGGAAGGUGGGGAUGACGUCAAAUCAUCAUGCCCCUUAUGACCUGGGCUACACACGUGCUACAAUGGGAAGUACAACGAGUUGCGAAGUCGCGAGGCUAAGCUAAUCUCUUAAAGCUUCUCUCAGUUCGGAUUGCAGGCUGCAACUCGCCUGCAUGAAGCCGGAAUCGCUAGUAAUCGCGGAUCAGCACGCCGCGGUGAAUACGUUCCCGGGCCUUGUACACACCGCCCGUCACACCACGAGAGUUUGUAACACCCGAAGUCGGUGAG